UACGAAGGGGCUAGCGUUGUUCGGAAUUACUGGGCGUAAAGCGUAUGCAGGCGGAUCGUUAAGUCGGGGGUGAAAUCCCGAGGCUCAACCUCGGAACUGCCUUCGAUACUGGCGAUCUUCGAGUCCGGGAGAGGUGAGUGGAACUCCGAGUGUAGAGGUGAAAUUCGUAGAUAUUCGGAAGAACACCAGUGGCGAAGGCGGCUCACUGGCCCGGUACUGACGCUGAGAUACGAAAGCGUGGGGAGCAAACAGGG
rnacentral:rRNA from 1 species